GACGAACGCUGGCGGCGUGCCUAAUACAUGCAAGUCGAGCGAUGAAGCUUUGUGCUUGCGCCAAGUUGGAGUGCAGCGAACGGGUGAGUAACGCGUGUGGCAUCUGCCUUUGAGCGGGGGACAACAUUGGGAAACGAAUGCUAAUACCGCAUAAUCACUUUAAACAUAGGUUUUGAGUGUGAAAGAUGCAAUUGCAUCACUCAAAGACGAUCCCGCGUUGUAUUAGCUAGGUGGUGAGUUACAGGCGCACCAAGGCGAGGAUACAGAGCCGACCUGAGAGGGUGGUCGGCCGCAUUGGGAGUGUGACCCGCCCCAAACUCCUUCGGGAGGCACCCGUAGUGCAUCUUCGGCCAUGGGCGGAAGUCUGACCGCGCUGCGCCGAGUCAGGAAAGAAGGUUGUCGGGUCGUAAAACUCGGUUGGUAGGGAAGAACGCGCGUGAGACUGGAAAGAUCAUCAAGUGACGGUAACUGCCCAGGAAGCGCCGGCUAACUACGUG
rnacentral:rRNA from 1 species